rnacentral:rRNA from 1 species
CACGUAGGGGGCAAGCGUUGUCCGGAUUUAUUGGGCGUAAAGAGCUCGUAGGCUGUUCGAUAAGUCGGGUGUGAAACCUCCAGGCUCAACCUGGAGACGCCACCCGAUACUGUCAUGACUAGAGUCCGGUAGGGGAGCGUGGAAUUCCUGGUGUAGCGGUGAAAUGCGCAGAUAUCAGGAGGAACACCGGUGGCGAAGGCGGCUUUCUGGACAGAAACUGACGCUGAUGCGCGAAAGCUAGGGGAGCAAACAGG